UGACACUACUAGGGGUGCCUAUGCAGGCUGAGAGAAAAACAUGUCGUUUUUUAACCCUUUGUACCUGAUCCGGUUCAUACUGGCGUAGGAAAGUAGGAAGUACAGCUU
rnacentral:ncRNA from 2 species